rnacentral:sRNA from 1 species
GAAACGGUGGCGCAGUAUUCUAGUCAGGUGCGAUUCAAUCGAGGACGGGGUUAAAAUACCGUUAAAGAGCAUAUCGAUGAAGUUUCUUGUGUCGGCUUGGUUUGCCCAAAUCUGGGCUGAUGCUGGGAGUUAAGAUUCUUGGGCGUCCGAUAACGGCAUAUCGGAGCCGUCCCAAUUAUCGCGGAGACCUAUCUCGGUGGAGUUUCGAUUCUACUGAAUAGGGUGAAACCUGCAAUGCGGUAACAAAUAGCUGUGUGCAGUGUAGCUUGCCUUGAGUGGAUCCGCGCGGAUUAGGGAGCCGGGCAAAUCGCCGUACGCGAACGGCGGCAUGCCUUUGCCUAUGAAACGCGGUCUGCAAAAGAGGAUAGGUUGUAUCAAAUCUGUCAAAGAAAUUUUCUAGACUGUUUUAGGUUAGGGAUUAUAGUGUGCUCUCAGUGGCGAUUCGGUUGUACAUCGAGUAAUCCUGUACUGCGCGGCUUAAAAGGAAACUGCCCGGACGGCGACGACGGGUGUCGCGUAGGGAAACCCUACCGAACCUUAUGGCGCAAGGUUUACCUAACUUAUUGCCACCGUUUCAACC